GACGAACGCUGGCGGCGUGCUUAACACAUGCAAGUCGAACGGAAAGGCCCUGCUUUUGUGGGGUGCUCGAGUGGCGAACGGGUGAGUAACACGUGAGUAACCUGCCCUUGACUUUGGGAUAAAUUCAGGAAACUGGGGCUAAUACCGGAUAGGAGCUCCUGAUGCAUGGUGGGGGUUGGAAAGUUUCGGCGGUUGGGGAUCGACUCGCGGCUUAUCCGCUUGUUGGUGGGGUAGUGGCGUACCAAGGGUUUGAAGGGUAGCCGGCCUGAGAGGGUGGCCGGCCACAUUGGGACUGAGAUACGGCCCAGAAGCCUACGGGCGGCAGCGGUGGGGAAUAUGGCACAAUGGGCGGAAGCCUGAUGCAGCAACGCCGCGUGCGGGAUGACGGCCUUCGGGUUGUAAACCGCUGUCGCCUGUGACGAAGCGUGAGUGACGGUAAUGGGUAAAGAAGCACCGGCUAACUACGUG
rnacentral:rRNA from 1 species